GCUUGGGUAGUUUAAUCUAAAAUUUUAAUUUGUGGUGUUAAUGAUGCAUUUAUUUGCCCCGUGCC
rnacentral:tRNA from 1 species